GGGUGUGGGUGUGGUCGCGAGAAGAGCAGGAGGAGGACAAACCCUUCUCCUUCAACCUAGCACAAGAAAUUCCUUCAAUUGAGGGUGUUGCAAGUCAAGAAUCGAAUGCAUGAAUCCAAGUAUCCUCUAAUCUAAGUGCAUAGAACAUAGGGUGUAGCAAGGCUUGGAAUACAACAUGGAAAACUAGUGGAAAUGGUGACGACUUUCUUACGGGCUAAGGUAUGAGAUUGUCGGGUUCAUGAAGGAAUGAAACCGGGUCUGGAUAAUGAGUAAUUAAGAAAGCGCUUGGGCAAUUACACGUCUACUUCAAGAAUGCUUUACGAAUUUCUAUUGUAUAGUUAAUGUUGCAUGGUGUGUUAAUGACUAAUGGUUGAGUUGUACGUGGUGUCCACAGGUAUCGCUCGGGCUUCCUCUACCAUUAACGAAGUGAAGCGGCCUUAGUUCGAGUUGAGAGCAAGGAUUGUACGGGGUAGAACGGUCACAUAGUUUGAUCUAUACAGGUCUUAAAGUAUUAAUAUAAUGGAACGUGGUAAAUCUUUUUUUAAAGAAUGUAUGAAACCUUGUAUUUGAACCUUCUUGUAAGUAUUAUAUCUUUUAAAGAACGAAUUUUUGGGCUCAUAUUUCCGCUGUGUCAUAAAUUAAGUUCCUACAAGUUGGUCUACAGGGAAUUGUUCAUAUUACGAACGGGUCAUGCCCGAAUUUUGUUAAAUAAUAGUAUGUUAUUAUUACUUUUUCGGAAUGGGAAAAU